AUAUACAUAUAUAUAGACUGGUUAGAUUAGUUUAGAUUAGUUUUUUGAAAAUCCAAGCUGAAAGCAAACUUUGAAUUUUUUUCGGUUCUGAAUUUCUCAAACUAAAAUCAAAUGAAAGUUUAAAAAUAAUUAACUUAAAUUGAACCGAAAAAACCCGAUCGGAUUAGAUUCGCAGAUCGGACCAUUUUUUGCACACCUCCGCAACUGACCCAUUCCUGCCCCAAAAUAGUGCCUAGGGUUUAAGGCCCGGGCAUCCUUGGCUCCUUGCAUCCAUCUCCCCCGUUCCUCUAUAAAAGCCACUUCUCUGUCCGCUUUUGCUUGUUCUUCCUCCGGCGGCGACGAGAUGAGGGAGAUCAAAACUUUCGUUCUUCCGAGGUAUUUGUUGUGCAAUGCGGAAGAUUCAUGGAGACCUGAACUGAGGAUACUUGUGUCAAGAAUUUUUACUCCUCGAUUUUUCUCUUACUUUUUGCUGUUAUACUUUGUAUUGGAUUAACGCGAUUAUUAUGCUCUUUGAAUCUCUGUGAAGAUCAUUUUUUGAGAUUAAAAUAGUGGGCUGACAUCAUUUUGAUGAAUGGAAUUAUCUGUUUCUGAGGGAUUUAUCUGCACUUGCGUUUGAGAUAAACGUUAUUCCGUUUUCCCUUUCAGGAUCACUAUGGGGUUGCGCACGAAAGCUGAUCUUUUGUGCAAUGCCCUGAUCAAAAUUGCUAUCAUUUCUGGGGUUUGUUAUUAUAUUCCAUUAUUAGAAAUUAGUGACUUGCAUUUUUGUUUGACUAAUUUAUUUCUUGGAGCCGUGUUUUCCAAUUUCUGCCAUUCUUAAUAAUUGGUGUCUAGUCGUUCAAUACUUCACUCUAUACUAGCUUUUAGUAUUGAUUUAUUUUAUCAUGCUUAAUUACUUUAGAAAAUCAAAAUUAAAGGUAUGGCCUUUCCAGAUGAAUGGGUCACUUAUUGUUUUAUUCAAGUUAAAGCAUGUUUUAUUUUUCUUCUUUUAUGAUGGUUUUACAGGUCAUUUACUGUCUAUUAGGUGCUUUUGUUUGCAGUUCCUGAUUGGGGCCAGGAUUUUGAUUGGUAGAGUAAGUUUGCCCGAGGAUGGAUCUGUUUUUGAAUUUUUUAUCUGAAAUAUCAGUUUAACAUGAUUUAUUAUAAAAUACUAUUAUCCAUAUCAUUGUAGUAUUUAUAAAAGUAUAUUGCCCUCACAAAUUCAAUCAACCUUGUUUUCAUUUGAUUCUGUGUUUAAAUAUGGUGGUGUCAUGCCUUACAGGCUCCUUUUUCUAUUUUAGACGUGUCUGGAGUCAUAUUCAGGAUUCAACAAUGCAAAUUCAGGGUCAUAUUAAGAACUUUGGGUCUUUGUUUUGUUGUAAUUGGCAGUGGGUGUUUUACUUGGGGAAAGAUCGAAAUUGUAGCUCUCAACUUUAAUAUGUAUUUAUACUGCUUUUUACCGUGAUAUUGAUUUCUUUGUUAUUUAUGUUGCUAUUCACUAGUCAGGUAAUCUUUACAUUAUCUCUUCAGUUAAGGCUGGCUGCAGCUUCUGUUGUUUGAUAAUUUCUUAAGGGAUAGUUACCAAAAAAAAUUCCUUAAGGGAUAUUUAUUUUGCAAUAUUUUAAGUUACAUGUUUCUUUGCAGAUUCUGUGUUUAUUUCACAUAUGAAUGAUUUCAGAUAUCAUGUUCAUUACUCUAUUUAACUGGUUUAAUGUUAUCGAUAUUCUAUUGAUCUUUUGAGGUCCAAGCUUCCAGUGAUUGAACAUAACAUCAGUUUCAGCCUUAUCUGAACAAUGUAUUGAUGUUGAAAUCUCAAAUUUGUUCUGAGGGAGCCAUUUACUUGCCAUAGUUUACAAAAUAUUAAGCAUAUAGGCGUGUCCUUACUAUUUUCUUUUGACAUGUCCUUACUCUUUGCAUUUUCUUUUGCUUAUCUUUUGGGUUUUCACAAUGGGUCGAAGACUUGCUCGCUGCUACCACCGACAGAUCAAGAACAAGCCUUACUCCUAAGGCCCUAUUUGGGGGAGCUGUUGGAAGUAGAGCUUUUGAAAGUAGAGUUGUUGGAAGUAGAGCUUUUUGAAGUAGAGCUUUCAGUGAGCCUACUGUUCCCAUUGAUGAGGGUAUCGACUAUCGAUCCACCUGCCCCCAUGAAAAUGCCUUUAGUAGAGCCAGAGAUUCCUGUGAAGCAUGGAGUUAGGAAUUUCAUGGCAUCAUUUGACUUUCAGCUUCCACAUCUAAAGAGCAACACAAGUCACGCUAUUAGUUGGAUGAGGAGCAGAUGAGAACCAUAGUUGAGCAGGUGAUUUCUGGGAGAAUUGCUUCCAGAGCUGUUAGUCAGGGGGAGCAGAGACACAUGGUUCAUUGCCUACGGAUCAGAGGAUGGAACCUCAUGUGUCUUCAUUGACCUAGAUGGUAGUUGAGUUGAGGCACAACAUCUCGGACAUCCACUUCUUGGUGACCAGUCAGCUCAGAAGGACUGGAGACAUUGAGAGGGAGACAAGGACCUUGUAGACCUCUGUACAAGAUGAGAUCAAGCAUUUUACUACAGAGGCUCAAGGGAUUGGAAUGGAGAUUUUGUGUUUGCUAAAGGAGGUUUGGGACGAGUUGCGGUGACUGAUCGAGUCUCUUAUUGCAUCUGCAUCUACUCUUGUUGCAGUUAUUUGUUGCUUUACUUAGGAGAUGAGAGUCAGUCGACCUUUUUAGCAUGGUCCCUCUAGACCAUCAGUCCAUUGGCCUAGCCGCUCCACUAUUUAGCAUCCCCAUCAUAGCUCAUCUUCAUCCUCAUCUUCAUCUUCUGAUCAGUCACCUAGGAACCUUCAUCUUCUUAUUUUGUAUAGAUUCUUAGGGAUCUUAGAAUUACAUUUUAUUAUAUGUACUUGUAAAAAACAAAAUACAAUGAAGUUAUCCUUUUUGUUUA